rnacentral:misc_RNA from 1 species
GUAACGGCGAGUGAAGCGGCAACAGCUCAAAUUUGAAAUCUGGCUCCUUCGGGGCCCGAGUUGUAAUUUGCAGAGGAUGCUUCGGGUACGGGUUCCUUCCCGAGUUCCUGGAACGGGACGCCAUAGAGGGUGAGAGCCCAGUCUGGUAGGACACCCAGCCCGUGUGAAGCUCCCUCGACGAGUCGAGUAGUUUGGGAAUGCUGCUCUAACGGGAGGUAUACUCCUUCCAAGGCUAAAUACCGGCUGGAGACCGAUAGCGCACAAGUAGAGUGAUCGAAAGAUGAAAAGCACUUUGAAAAGAGAGUCAAAUAGCACGUGAAAUUGUUGAAAGGGAAGCGCUCGCUACCAGACAUGGGUUCGGCGGUUCAACCGGGGCCACGCCCCGGGGCACUCCGCCGGCCCAGGCCAGCAUCAGCUUUCCGUCGGGGGCAAAGACGUCGGGAAUGUGGCUCCCCUCCGGGGGAGUGUUAUAGCCCGGCGUGUCAUACCCUUCGGGGGGCUGAGGUACGCGCUUCUGCAAGGAUGCUGGCGUAAUGGUAGCUAGUGACCCGUCUUGAAACACGGACCAAGGAGUCAACCUUAUGUGCGAGUGCCCGGGCGUAAAACCCCAGCGCGGAAUGAAAGUGAACGUAGGUGAGAGCUUCGGCGCAUCACCGACCGAUCCUGAUGUCCUCGGACGGAUUUGAGUGAGAGCAUAUAGGGUUGGACCCGAAAGAAGAUGAACUAUGCGUGUGUAGGGUGAAGCCAGAGGAAACUCUGGUGGAGGCUCGCAGCGGUUCUGACGUGCAAAUCG